GACGAACGCUGGCGGCGUGCCUAAUACAUGCAAGUCGAACGCAGUGGGGACGGGUGAGUAACACGUGGGUAACCUCCCAUCCAAGGGGAUAACACUUGGCAACAGGUGCUAAACCGAUACUGAUGGAUGGACCCGCGGUGCAUUAGCUAGUUGGUGAGGUCACGGCUCACCAAGGCCACGAGGCAUAGCCGACCUGAGAGGCGGAGCGGCCACACUGGGAUGGAGACACGGCCCAGACUCCUACGGGAGGCAUCAGUAGGGAAUCUUCGGCAAGGGACGAAAGUCGGACCGAGCAACGCCGCGUGAGUGAAGAAGGUUUUCGGAUCUGAAAACUCUGUUGUUAGAGAAGCGGUAUCUAACCAGAAAGCCACGGCUAACUACGUGCCAGCAGCCGCGGUAAUUC
rnacentral:rRNA from 1 species